GACGAACGCUGGCGGCGUGCUUAACACAUGCAAGUCGAGCGGUAAGGCCCUUUCGGGGGUACACGAGCGGCGAACGGGUGAGUAACACAUGGGUGACCUGCCCUCAGCUCUGGGAUAAGCCUGGGAAACCGGGUCUAAUACUGGAUAUGACUCCAUGACGCAUGUUGUGGGGUGGAAAGCCUUGUGCGGCUGAGGAUGGGCCCGCGGCCUAUCAGCUUGUUGGUGGGGNGAUGGCCUACCAAGGCGACGACGGGUAGCCGGCCUGAGAGGGCGACCGGCCACACUGGGACUGAGACACGGCCCAGACUCCUACGGGAGGGCAGCAGUGGGGAAUCUUGCGCAAUGGGCGAAAGCCUGACGCAGCGACGCCGCGUGAGGGAUGACGGCCU
rnacentral:rRNA from 1 species